UACAGAGGGUGCGAGCGUUAAUCGGAAUUACUGGACGUAAAGCGCGCGUAGGCGGCUUUGCAAGUCGGGUGUGAAAUCCCCAGGCUUAACCUGGGAACUGCAUUCGAGACUGCAUUGCUAGAGUAUGGGAGAGGGAAGUGGAAUUUCCGGUGUAGCGGUGAAAUGCGUAGAUAUCUGGAGGAAUACCGGUGGCGAAGGCGGCGAUCCUGGACCGGCAUUGACGCUGAGGAGCGAAAGCCAGGGGAGCAAACGGG
rnacentral:rRNA from 1 species